UCUUGGUCAUUUAGAGGAAGUAAAAGUCGUAACAAGGUUUCCGUAGGUGAACCUGCGGAAGGAUCAUUAUUGAUUUUAAAGGAUGUGCUGGCAUUUAUGCAUGUGCACUCUUAAACCAAUAUCCACCCUGUGCACACUUGUAGGCAUUCCUUUGCCUAUGUUUCUUCACAAACAACUAUUGAUGUAUUUGAAUGCUAUUUGAUAAAUUGUAAUACAACUUUCAACAAUGGAUCUCUUGGUUCUCGCAUCGAUGAAGAACGCAGCGAAUUGCGAUAUGUAAUGUGAAUUGCAGAAUUCAGUGAAUCAUCGAAUCUUUGAACGCACAUUGCACCCUCUGGUAUUCCGGAGGGUAUGCCUGUUUGAGUGUCAUUAAUAUCUCAACCCAGACAGGUUUAACAACCUGCUCUGUUGCUUGGAUGUUGAAGGCUUGCUGGCUUUUUCAAGUCAGCUCCUUUUAAAUUCAUUAGCAGAAAUGAUNGGCAAAACUGGCUUCAGUUUGAUAAACUACUUUAUCUGUACUGCUGUCGCUAGUGAAAGAUACCUAACAUAUUUCAGCUUCCAAUUGUCCCAUGUGGGACUGUCUUCUCGAAGGCAUAACCAACUUGACACUUGACCUCAAAUCAGGUAGGACUACCCGCUGAACUUAAGCAUAUCAAUAAGCGGA
rnacentral:rRNA from 1 species